UUUAACAGGGAAGAGAGAUAGAUAGAAGGAAGUCGAGGCGGCGAGAGUAGAGAAUCCUAUCUUCUCCGUGCGUCUUCUUCGUAAAACCAUACACACGCAGUGCUGUGCUUCGGAUGUGGAGUUGAAGCAGAGUAUCGCAUCAAACGAAUCAAUCGAUGGCGACUCAAUCGGCCAACCUAUGGGUUCUGUUGGGGCUGGGUUUAGCGGGAAUUGUUCUCAUCACCAGAAAGCUCAAGAAGUCUGUCAGAGAGGAUUUCGGCGCUUUUCUCGAGAAGCUUCAGCUCCUUCCGCCGCCGCAGCCUGCUCCUCCCAAAGCUCCUCAUCCUCUCACCGCCCUCACUUUCGCACUCUCCGACUUAUUUGACAUCGAAGGACGUGUCUCUACGUUCGGCCAUCCCGAGUGGGCUAGGUCUCACGAGCCCGCUUCUUCCACUUCUCCCGCGGUUUCUGCUCUCGUCGAAGGAGGCGCCACCUGCGUUGCAACUACCGUUGUCGAUGACUUUGCUCUAGGUAUCGGUGGCGAGAAUAGGCAUUAUGGAACACCGACUAAUCCCGCUGCGCCUGCACGAGUACCGGGUGGAUCCUCCAGUGGUGCUGCUGUGGCUGUUGCUGCCAAUUUCGUUGACUUUGCAUUGGGUAUUGAUACUACUGGUGGGGUGAGGGUACCUGCUGGAUUUUGUGGCAUUCUAGGAUUUCGACCCUCACAUGGUGCUGUUUCACAUUUGGGAAUCAUACCUAUCUCAACAAGUCUGGACACUGUUGGUUGGUUUGCAAAGGAUCCCUCUAUAUUGCGUCGAGUUGGCCAUAUACUCUUACAAGCAUCAUUUGUAGUUCAACGCAGUCCUAGGCAAAUAAUUAUAGCUGAUGAUUGUUUUCAGCAUAUAAAUGUUCCUCUUGACAGGAGUUCUCAAGUGGUGGUCAAAGCUACUGAGAAGCUUUUUGGAAGGCAAGUAUUGAAGCACAUAAAUCUUGGGGACUAUAUAAGUUCGAGGAUUCCAAGCUUGAAGGGGUGUUCUGGUCAGAAAACAAACGGUGAAGUGAAAGCUUCUUCACUGAAGUUACUUGCUAACAUUAUGCAAUCCCUACAAAGGCAUGAAUUCAAACAUACACAUGAUGAGUGGAUGAACACUGUAAAACCUGACCUAAGUCCUUCUGUUUCAGUACAAUUGCAUGAAAAAUUUGAGGUAUCCGGUGUAGAGAUUGAAAAUUCCAAAUCCAUUAGAAGUGAGAUGCGUUCGGCUAUAAAUUUGCUUUUGAAGGAUGAAGGAAUUUUGGUUAUCCCCACAGUAGCUGAUCCACCUCCAAAAUUAGGUGGGAAGGAGAUCUUAUCAGAUGAUUAUCAGAGCCGAGCAUUUAGUCUGUUGAGUAUUGCAAGCAUCUCAGGUUGUUGCCAGGUCUCAAUACCAUUGGGAUUUUAUGACAAGUACCCUAUUUCAGUGUCUUUGAUAGCCAGGCAUGGUGGUGAUCGAUUUUUACUUGACACACUACAGACCGUGUAUACCACUCUCCAAGAACUGGCUGAUAUUGCUUCCAAAAGCAAACCAUCUGAAAAUGUUGUCAGUAAAGAGCAGUCUGCUGAGUUCGCUAAAGAGAAGGGAAAUCAAGCAUAUAAAGAUAGGCAGUGGCAGAAAGCCAUUGGAUUUUACACAGAAGCUAUCAAACUCUGUAGUGAUAAUGCAACGUACUAUAGUAACAGGGCUCAAGCGUAUCUAGAACUUGGAAGUUAUCUUCAAGCUGAGGCCGAUUGUACCAAGGCAAUUAGUCUGGACAAAAAGAAUGUGAAGGCCUAUUUUCGUAGAGGUACAUCUAGAGAGAUGCUAGGCUACUGCAAGGAAGCAAUUGACGAUUUUAAGCAUGCUCUUGUACUUGAGCCGACCAACAAAAGGGCAGCUGCAGCGGCUGAUAGGUUGAGGAAGCUAUUCCAGUAGGUACAUAAUUUUGGCAUGGGAUAAGGGUCUUCAAUUCAUUGUUGGUGGUGCUGGUGACCUAUAAGCGCUGAGACGAUUAGAGGAUUGGGUUGAUCUUCCAUCUCACAAUCAAGCUCACUAACACAAUUUACUUCCACAUGUCCAGCAUUAUCCAGACUUAACGGCAAGUUCUCUCUUUCUGAAACAGUUUCUCUGUGAGACGACGUUGAAGCCAAAACUUCAGCUCGCUGCCGGGGCGGAGAGGAUGUACUUCCAGAUGCAAACAACCUUUCAGGCCUUUCUGUUGCAAAGAGAGCCAUGUAUGAGUUUCCAAUAGCUCGGCAUUAUCAAUUACGCACAAAAAAUGUGUUCAGGAAUACUUGAUAAAAGAACUUGAUUCAUAGAUGUGCACCUACCCGUACUAGGUGUAGCGCGCAUCACUGGGCGUACAGGAUGUAUUAAUUGUUCUGAUGGAGGUCCACAGUCCUUGGAGAAGACCUGUGUAACAUAUUAACAAGCUAUGUAUUCCUGAACAUAAGCAUAUGUAUAGUAAAAGGAUUAUACAAUUUUUUCAUCCAAUCAUAAAUUGAUAAAUGUAUCAAAUCUA